rnacentral:rRNA from 1 species
AGUGGACGCUGGCGGUAGGCCUAACACAUGCAAGUCGAACGGCAGCACAGUAAGAGCUUGCUCUUACGGGUGGCGAGUGGCGGACGGGUGGGGAAUACAUCGGAAUCUACUUUUUCGUGGGGGAUAACGUAGGGAAACUUACGCUAAUACCGCAUACGACCUACGGGUGAAAGCAGGGGAUCUUCGGACCUUGCGCGAUUGAAUGAGCCGAUGUCGGAUUAGCUAGUUGGCGGGGUAAAGGCCCACCAAGGCGACGAUCCGUAGCUGGUCUGAGAGGAUGAUCAGCCACACUGGAACUGAGACACGGUCCAGACUCCUACGGGAGGCAGCAGUGGGGAAUAUUGGACAAUGGGCGCAAGCCUGAUCCAGCCAUGCCGCGUGGGUGAAGAAGGCCUUCGGGUUGUAAAGCCCUUUUGUUGGGAAAGAAAAGCAGCAGGUUAAUACCCCGCUGUUCUGACGGUACCCAAAGAAUAAGCACCGGCUAACUUCGUG